GACGAACGCUGGCGGCGUGCUUAACACAUGCAAGUCGAACGGAAAGGCCUGCUUUCCCUUGUGGAUUGCGGGUACUCGAGUGGCGAACGGGUGAGUAACACGUGAGUGAUCUGCCCCCAACUUGGGUAUAAGCCUGGGAAACUGGGUCUAAUUCCCGAUAGGACUGCAGGGUGGUGCCUGUGGUGGAAAACGAUUUUCUAGUGGUUGGGGAUGAGCUCGCGGCCUAUCAGCUUGUUGGUGGGGGAAUGGCCUACCAAGGCGGCGACGGGUAGCCGGCCUGAGAGGGUGGACGGCCACAUUGGGACUGGGAUACGGCCCAGACUCCUACGGGAGGCAGCAGUGGGGAAUAUUGCACAAUGGGCGGAAGCCUGAUGCAGCGACGCCGCGUGGGGGAUGACGGCCUUCGGGUUGUAAACUCCUUUCGACCGCGAGGAAGCCACCUGGUUGGAAGGGUGGUGACGGUAGUGGUAGAAGAAGCACCGGCUAACUACGUG
rnacentral:rRNA from 1 species